GACGAACGCUGGCGGCGUGCCUAAUACAUGCAAGUAGAACGCUGAAGGAGGAGCUUGCUUCUAUGGAUGAGUUGCGAACGGGUGAGUAACGCGUAGGUAACCUGCCUGGUAGCGGGGGAUAACUAUUGGAAACGAUAGCUAAUACCGCAUAAUAGUAGAUGUUGCAUGACAUUUGCUUAAAAGGUGCAAUUGCAUCACUACCAGAUGGACCUGCGUUGUAUUAGCUAGUUGGUGGGGUAACGGCUCACCAAGGCGACGAUACAUAGCCGACCUGAGAGGGGGAUCGGCCACACUGGGACUGAGACACGGCCCAGACUCCUACGGGAGGCAGCAGUAGGGAAUCUUCGGCAAUGGACGGAAGUCUGACCGAGCAACGCCGCGUGAGUGAAGAAGGUUUUCGGAUCGUAAAGCUCUGUUGUAAGAGAAGAACGGGUGUGAGAGUGGAAAGUUCACACUGUGACGUUAUCUUACCAGAAAGGGACGGCUAACUACGUG
rnacentral:rRNA from 1 species